UAUAUACAUGAAUAAAAACCUGGAUUGAAAAUAUCACAUAUGUAUAUUUCCUGUCUUCCUCUUUCCAAUCAUUACGAGAAGAGGAUAUUUUUCUUCUUCCUUCCUUUUCUCUUCUUCGUUUCUUUUUCUUGGUAUUUGUGUAACUUCCCGCAAUAGUAUCAAGAAUCCUUUCAUUGUUUAAGAAUGUAUUGCCCAACAGUGAACGAAGUACCUUUUUGGCCUUCAUAACAUUGAAUUCAACGAUGAAAAAAAA
rnacentral:ribozyme from 14 species